rnacentral:rRNA from 1 species
AUUGAACGCUGGCGGCAGGCCUAACACAUGCAAGUCGAGCGAGAGGCGGACGGGUGAGUAAUGUAUGGGGACUGCCCGAUAGAGGGGGAUAACUACUGGAAACGGUAGCUAAUACAGCAUACUAUCGGAUAACCCAUAUGGGAGUAGCUAGUAGGUGAGGUAAUGGCUCACCUAGGCGACGAUCCCUAGCUGGUCUGAUAGAAUGAUCCACCACACGGGAACUGAGAAACGGCCCUGACUCCUACGGGGGCAGCAGUGGGGAAUAUUGCACAAUGGGCGCAAGCCUGAUGCUGCCAUGCCGCGUGUAUGAAGAAGGCCCUCGGGUUGUAAAGUACUUUCAGUCGGGAGGCGUUACCGACAGAAGAAGCACCGGCUAACUCCGUGCCAGCAGCCGCGGUAAUUC